AUGUCCAAGGUUUCCAGGGUAAAGCUGAUCUGCCCUGGGUGAGUCGGGGCCUAAGGCGAGGCUGAAAAGCGUAGCCGAUGGAUAACAGGUAGAGAUUCCUGUACUGCCUUAUAACAGAAGAUGCGGGGACGCGUUGGCAAAGUGUGAGCCGGGAAAGGAAAAACCGGUGCAAGGACGAGAGGCGUCGGAGGGGAAAGUCCCUUCCGGCAGCAAGCCGGCCGUCUGAUGCAUAGCGAAAAAGAGUAGCGAAACACAUGGAGCGGGCGCCGAGAAAAGCCGCUAUUGUUUGUAAGGUACCCGUACCGAAGACCGACACAGGUGGACAGGGAGAGGAUCCCAAGGCCGGCGGGCGAAGCACUGCCAAGGAACUCGGCAAAAUGGCCCCGUAACUUCGGGAGAAGGGGCGCCCCCGUGAGGGGGCCGCAGAGAAUAGGCCCAAGCAACUGUUUAGCAAAAACACAGGUCUGUGCAAAACCGCAAGGUGAAGUAUACGGGCUGACGCCUGCCCGGUGCUGGAAGGUUAAGGGGAGGGGUAAGCGGGAAACCGCGAAGCUCCGAGCCUAAGCCCCAGUAAACGGCGGCCGUAACUAUAACGGUCCUAAGGUAGCGAAAUUCAUUGUCGGGCAAGUUCCGACCCGCACGAAAGGCGUAAUGAUUUGGGCGCUGUCUCGGCAGUGCACCCGGUGAAAUUGAAGUGCCAGUGAAGAUGCUGGCUACCUGCGCCAGGACGGAAAGACCCCAUGGAGCUUUACUCCAGCUUGAUGCUGGGAUCCGGUGCUGCACGUACAGGAUAGGCGGGAGGCAGAGAAGCAAGGGCGCCAGCCCUUGUGGAGCCGCCGUUGGGAUACCGCCCCUGCAGCACUGGCUUCCUAACCCGCGCCCGUGAAUCCGGGCGGGGGACACCGUCUGGCGGGGAGUUUGACUGGGGCGGUCGCCUCCGAAAGAGUAUCGGAGGCGCUCAAAGGUCCCUUCAGGAUGGACGGAAACCAUCCGGAGAGCGCAAAGGCAGAAGGGGGCCUGACUGUGACGCCGACGGGCGGAGCAGGUACGAAAGUAGGACUUAGUGAUCCGGUGGCAUGAAGUGGGACUGCCAUCGCUCAACGGAUAAAAGCUACCCUGGGGAUAACAGGCUUAUCACCCCCAAGAGUUCACAUCGACGGGGUGGUUUGGCACCUCGAUGUCGGCUCAUCGCAUCCUGGGGCUGUAGCAGGUCCCAAGGGUUGGGCUGUUCGCCCAUUAAAGCGGUACGCGAGCUGGGUU
rnacentral:rRNA from 1 species